GAGAACAAUAGCUGCUUGGAGUAUGUCCAUCUUAGGCUAGAAUGACAAUUCAGUUACAUCUAUGGCCAAAGCUAUAAAUAAGCUUAGAAGUAUUUCUUGGCAGCCUGAAUACACUAUGGUGGUUUUUGAUUAUGAUAACCUCUAUCCAUCUUUGAGGCUGGAGCCUGUAUGUUUAAUAUUUUACAGGUUUAUACUCCACAACAUCCCAUACAUACAAGGAAGCCUGUACUACUAUGGGAUGUCGCCCAUUUGCUAUGUUAUAAAUCCUGUUUUGUUUUUAGGAGGAUAUACUAAGAGCAGACAAGAGGAAUACCUAUAGGUAGCCCCCUCGCAAUACCACUGGCAGAGUUGAUUCUUAGAGAAAUAGAGGCUGCAGUAUUGCCAAAGUUUGAGCUAUAUUUAGUCAA
rnacentral:lncRNA from 1 species